CCUUUUAGCCUUAGCUAGAGUUCUAGCAACUCAUUACAAAAGAAAACAUUAACCAAAUUCUGAAUGAAAUGGAUAAAGAAAUAUGUUGUGUUGGUCUCCUUACCAAAUAAGUUGAUGGGUGAUUUAUAGUAGUCAAUGAGGUGAGUGGAAAGUUAAUACAUUCAUGGUGGGUAAUGAAAGAUUUAAGUAAGGGAUUAAUUGGAUUAAACAUGUGUUAAUGGUGGAGAGUUAGUGGAAAAGAAAUAAUAGUGAGGUAAUGGCCAUUACAUGGCUAUAAAUGACAUAAAAUAGGCUCUUUAGCUUCAAGGGUUUUGUUUUCUCUUCUCCCUCUUUACUUCUCUUCAUAAUCACAAUAAUCCCACAAUCAAUUCUUCAAUAAAAUAUGUCAACAAGUCUCUUCACACUUGGCUUGAACUUGGACAAAUAUAUAUCUUCAUCUUUCG
rnacentral:lncRNA from 1 species